GCGCCUGUAGCUCAACUGGAUAGAGCAUUAGUCUUCGGAACUAGGGGUUGGGGGUUCGAUUCCCUUCGGGCGCG
rnacentral:tRNA from 1 species